rnacentral:rRNA from 1 species
UUCCGGUUGAUCCUGCCGGACCCUACUGCUAUCGGGGGAGGACUAAAACAUGCAAGUCGUGCGCCUCCAAGCCAUGGUGGAGACGCGGCAUCCGGCUCAGUAACACGUGGCUAACCCACCCUUGAGACGGAGAAAACCCCGGGAAACUGGGGUUAAUCUCCGAUAAGAGAAGACACCUGGAAUGGGUCUCCUCUCAAAGGGCGCCUAGACCAUGCUUCUGGAUGUCGCCAAAGGAUGGGGCCGCGGCCGAUCAGGUUGUUGGUGAGGUAACGGCUCACCAAGCCUAUAACCGGUACGGGCCGUGAGAGCGGGAGCCCGGAGAUGGGCACUGAGACAAGGGCCCAGGCCCUACGGGGCGCAGCAGUUGCGAAAACUCCGCAAUGCGCGAAAGCGUGACGGGGCUACCCCGAGUGCCGUCCGCUGAGGAUGGCUUUUCCGCGGUGUAAGGAGCCGUGGGAAUAAGGAGAGGGCAAGACUGGUGUCAGCCGCCGCGGUAAUACCAGCUCUCCGAGUGGUGGGGAUGAUUAUUGGGCUUAAAGCGUUCGUAGCCGGCCUGGCAAGUCUUCCGUUAAAUCCAGCGGCCUAAUCGUUGGACUGCGGGAGAUACUGUUAGGCUAGGGGGCGGGAGAAGCCGACGGUACUCUCGGGGUAGGGGUGAAAUCCUGUAAUCUCGGGAGGACCACCAGUGGCGAAGGCGGUCGGCUAGAACGCGCCCGACGGUGAGGGACGAAAGCUGGGGGAGCGAACCGGAUUAGAUACCCGGGUAGUCCCAGCAGUAAACGAUGCGGGCUAGGUGCUGGGGCGGCUACGAGCCGCUUCGGUGCCGCACGGAAGCAAUUAAGCCCGCCGCCUGGGG